rnacentral:tRNA from 1 species
UGGUCGUGCGGGAAAUGGCCGUGCUCGAACGCGCUUGACGGGCGUGGUGAACGCGACGGCUCAGACCGUCGCGACCAGC